rnacentral:rRNA from 1 species
UACGUAGGCGGAAAAUUAAGUCAGUGGUGAAAUCCUGCAGCUUAACUGUAGAACUGUCAUUGAUACUGGUUUUCUUGAAUAUAGUUGAGGUAGGCGGAAUGUGUAAUGUAGCGGUGAAAUGCUUAGUUAUUACACAGAACACCGAUUGCGAAGGCAGCUUACUAAGCUAUGAUUGACGCUGAGGUACGAAAGCGUGGGGAGCGAACAGGAUUAGAUACCCUGGUAGUCC